CAGACGGUGCCGAGUGGAAAGGCCGUCGCUCAACGGAUAAAAGUUACUCUAGGGAUAACAGGUUGAUCUUCCCCAAGAGUCGACAUCAGUCCACAUCGACGGGAAGGUUUGGCACCUCGAUGUCGGCUCUUCGCCACCUGGAGCUGUAGGUGGUUCCAAGGGUUGGGCUGUUCGCCCAUUAAUGCGGUACGUGAGCUAGGUUCAGAACGUCGUGAGACAGUUCGAUCCAUAUCCAGUGUGGGCGUUAGAGCAUUGAGAAGACCUUUCCCUAGUACGAGAGGACUGGGAAGGACGCACCUCUGGUGUACCAGUUAUCGUGCCUACGGUAAACGCUGGGUAGCCAAGUGCGGAGAGGAUAACUGCUGAAAGCAUAUAAGUAGUAAGCCCACCCCAAGAUGAGUGCUCUCUCCUC
rnacentral:rRNA from 1 species